rnacentral:lncRNA from 1 species
UGUGAAUUGUGAACAACAUAAUUAUUUCAUGUAUUCUUGGAAACUUAUUCAUUUAUAUAUUUUUCAUAUGCAUUUCAAUAGAGCAUAACAGUUGUUUCUUACCUUUUUUUUCCUCUUUACCUUUUAGAGCUCUCUUUAUUAUUUUCUUUUAAAAUUAACUACAUAUUUAUUUGACCUGAUUUUUUUAACAAAACUUAUCGCAACAUGCUAUUUUUACCCACCUCAACCUCUAGAGUUAGAACUAAGUCAUUUAAAUACAAUUUUCCCAAUAAAAUAGCUAUUGCGCAUAUUCACAAACUUUAACUUUCUAAACAUGAUGGAUCGGAACAUCUUGACCAGCCACUUGCAUGUUGUUUACCCCAAGAAUAAUCAGUCUUAAACAUACCAUUACAAUUAUAUGAUAUAGCUUUUCUGGCAGGUUUUGCUGAGCAGUAUUUCCUGAUGCUUCCUAGCCCUACCAUGUCUGCUAAACAUGGUUUCAUCUAAAAAAUUAAUCAGAGGUUUUGAUCAGUAUUCAUUCUGAGCUCUUCUCUUUUUGUCUCUUUGGUUAGGCUGCUUUCUCUUUUGUGCAUUGUGAUUCUGCUACACCAUCUCCUCUCACUUUUAAAUAGGCAGUGGUUUGUGUUGAUGUGGUGUGAAUGUCAUUCAGUUUCCAUAGCCCCGUACAUGUAACAUUCAAAUGAGCAUAUCACCAUCUUUCCAAUGUCGCACAAUAUAAGACAACAUAUGGAAAAGCAUUUGAACGAUUUGUUUGAUUGAUAGAGCCUGAAUCUAGCCUAAAGUGAAUGUUACAGGAAGUUCAUUUCACUGAAUUUCAAUUCCCAAUAUCUAUUCCCCAGGGAUGGAUUCAGGAUCAAAUCGUUUGGACCUCUCAAUAAUUUGAAUUAUUUUCCAAAAAUUACAUGAAAAUUAUAUUGGCAUUCCUAUGCUAAAGUGAGUGAGAAAACUUGUUCCUGUACUUGACCUUCAGCUAGGCUAGUAUUGUACUAUUGUCCCACUCUGCUCAUGAGUGUAGGAAAUGGAUGAACAAUUUUCUCAUAUGCUUCUCUGCUCGUAAGGUGGGUUUAUGAGAGAGGCAAACUUGAUACUACUAAGUUAAUUGCACUUAGACUUCCUUGUCAUAUUCCUUUUCGUCUAUAGUCCAAUACUGUACGUAGCCACUGGGUUGGAAAUUGAGUCAAGACUGUACAUAGCCACUGGCUUGGGACUGCAGUCGUCAAUUGGUUGAAGGAGCACAUAUUUCUUUUCAAAUGGGUGUCCAUGAGCUGCUGUCGUGUUUCCUGGUGC